rnacentral:rRNA from 1 species
GACGAACGCUGGCGGCGUGCUUAACACAUGCAAGUCGAACGGAAAGGCCCUGCUUUUGUGGGGUGCUCGAGUGGCGAACGGGUGAGUAACACGUGAGUAACCUGCCCUUGACUUUGGAAUAACUUCAGGAAACUGGGGCUAAUACCGGAUAGGGGCUCCUGCUGCAUGGUGGGGGUUGGAAAGUUUCGGCGGUUGGGGAUGGACUCGCGGCUUAUCAGCUUGUUGGUGGGGUAGUGGCUUACCAAGGCUUUGACGGGUAGCCGGCCUGAGAGGGUGACCGGCCACAUUGGGACUGAGAUACGGCCCAGACUCCUACGGGAGGCAGCAGUGGGGAAUAUUGCACAAUGGGCGGAAGCCUGAUGCAGCAACGCCGCGUGCGGGAUGACGGCCUUCGGGUUGUAACCGCUUUCGCCUGUGACGAAGCGUGAGUGACGGUAAUGGGUAAAGAAGCACCGGCUAACUACGUG